rnacentral:rRNA from 1 species
CCUACGGGGGGCAGCAGUGGGGAAUAUUGCACAAUGGAGGGAACUCUGAUGCAGCGACGCCGCGUGAGUGAAGAAGUAAUUCGUUAUGUAAAGCUCUAUCAGCAGGGAAGAAAGUGACGGUACCUGAAAAAGAAGCUCCGGCUAAAUACGUGCCAGCAGCCGCGGUAAUACGUAGGUGGCAAGCGUUGUUCGGAAUAACUGGGCGUAAAGGAUGCGUAGGCGGUUAAACAAGUUAUAUGUUAAAUAUAUAGGCUUAACCUGUAGGAAGCAUAUAAAACUGUUUAACUAGAGUGCAGGAGAGGUAA